rnacentral:rRNA from 1 species
AGAGUUUGAUCCUGGCUCAGAAUCAACGCUGGCGGCGUGCCUAACACAUGCAAGUCGAACGAGAAAGUGGAGCAAUCCAUGAGUACAGUGGCGUACGGGUGAGUAACACGUGACUACCUACCCUCGAGUGGGGAAUAACCUCGGGAAACCGGGGCUAAUACCGCAUAACAUCUACGGAUCAAAUGCGAAAGCAGCUUGAGGAGGGGGUCGCGGCCGAUUAGCUAGUUGGUGAGGUAAUGGCCCACCAAGGCAAUGAUCGGUAGCCGGCCUGAGAGGGCGCACGGCCACACUGGAACUGAAACACGGUCCAGACUCCUACG